UAGCGUAGCAAAAUCUGGUUUUGCUAAAGACCUAAACUCUUUUCAUAGAAGUUCAAAUCCUCUCG
rnacentral:tRNA from 1 species